UUUGCCUACGGGGCGCAGCAGUAGGGAAUUUUCGUCAAUGGGCGGAAGCCUGAACCAGCCAAGUCGCGUGAGGGAAUAAGGCCCUACGGGUCGUAAACCUCUUUUGCCGGGGAGCAAGGGCGGGGACGUGUCCCGGCCCGGAGAGUACCCGGAGAAAAAGCAUCGGCUAACUCCGUGCCAGCAGCCGCGGUAAUACGGAGGAUGCGAGCGUUAUCCGGAUUUAUUGGGUUUAAAGGGUGCGUAGGCGGGCUUUUAAGUCAGCGGGAAAGAUUCGGGGCUCAACCCCGUCCGGCCGU
rnacentral:rRNA from 1 species